AGUGAACGCUGGCGGUAGGCCUAACACAUGCAAGUCGAACGGCAGCACAGUAAGAGCUUGCUCUUACGGGUGGCGAGUGGCGGACGGGUGAGGAAUACAUCGGAAUCUACUUUUUCGUGGGGGAUAACGUAGGGAAACUUACGCUAAUACCGCAUACGACCUACGGGUGAAAGCAGGGGAUCUUCGGACCUUGCGCGAUUGAAUGAGCCGAUGUCGGAUUAGCUAGUUGGCGGGGUAAAGGCCCACCAAGGCGACGAUCCGUAGCUGGUCUGAGAGGAUGAUCAGCCACACUGGAACUGAGACACGGUCCAGGCUCCUACGGGAGUCAGCAGUGGGGAAUAUUGGACAAUGGGCGCAAGCCUGAUCCAGCCAUACCGCGUGGGUGAAGAAGGCCUUCGGGUUGUAAAGCCCUUUUGUUGGGAAAGAAAAGCAGCAGGUUAAUACCCCGCUGUUCUGACGGUACCCAAAGAAUAAGCACCGGCUAACUUCGUG
rnacentral:rRNA from 1 species